CACCGCGGUUAUACGAGAGGCUCAAGUUGAUAGACACCGGCGUAAAAGGUGGUUAGGAAACAACAUAACUAAAGCCGAACAUCUUCGAAGCUGUCAUACGCACACGAAGACACGAAGCACUUCCACGAAAGUGGCUUUAAACCUCCGAACCCACGAAAGCUAAGACA
rnacentral:rRNA from 1 species